rnacentral:rRNA from 1 species
AUGCCAGCCGCCGCGGUAAUACGGAGGGUCCAAGCGUUAUCCGGAAUCAUUGGGUUUAAAGGGUCCGUAGGCGGCCUUAUAAGUCAGUGGUGAAAUCUCACGGCUCCACCGUGAAAUGGCCAUUGAUACUGUAGGGCUUGAAUUAUUAGGAAGUAACUAGAAUAUGUAGUGUAGCGGUGAAAUGCUUAGAUAUUACAUGGAAUACCGAUUGCGAAGGCAGGUUACUACUAAUCAAUUGACGCUGAUGGACGAAAGCGGGGGUAGCGAACAGGAUUAGAUACCCCUGUAGUCC